UACGUAGGGUGCGAGCGUUAAUCGGAAUUACUGGGCGUAAAGGGUGCGCAGGCGGUUAUAUAAGACAGAUGUGAAAUCCCCGGGCUCAACCCGGGAACUGCGUCCGAUACUGGCAGGCUUGAAUCCGGGAGAGGGAUGCGGAAUUCCAGGUGUAGCGGUGAAAUGCGUAGAUAUCUGGAGGAACACCGGUGGCGAAGGCGGCAUCCUGGACCGGCAUUGACGCUGAGGCGCGAAAGCCAGGGGAGCAAACGGG
rnacentral:rRNA from 1 species